rnacentral:rRNA from 1 species
CGGAUGAACGCUAGCGGCAGGCUUAAUACAUGCAAGUCGAGGGGCAGCGCGGGAGCAAUCUCUGGCGGCGACCGGCAAACGGGUGAGGAACACGUACGCAACCUUCCCAAAACAGGUGAAUAGCCCUCCGAAAGGAGGAUUAAUACACCGUAAGAUAUUUGGUUGGCAUCAAUUGAAUAUUAUAGUUGAGGCGGUUUUGGAUGGGCGUGCGCAUGAUUAGAUAGUUGGCGGGUAACGGCCCACCAAGUCUACGAUCAUUAACUGGUGUGAGAGCACGACCAGUCACACGGGCACUGAGACACGGGCCCGACUCCUACGGGAGGCAGCAGUAAGGAAUAUUGGUCAAUGGACGCAAGUCUGAACCAGCCAUGCCGCGUGAAGGAUGAAGGUCCUCUGGAUUGUAAACUUCUUUUAUCUGGGACGAAAACGGGAUUUUUAUCUCAAUUGACGGUACCAGAGGAAUAAGCACCGGCUAACUCCGUG